UCACCGGGCCGAUCUUUUGCCUCUUUUUCUUCGCCCUGUUCAUGAAGCGCGCCAGCCCGGCGGCGGUCUGGGUGGCGUCGUUCGCCGGCAUCAUCGCGGCGGUGGCGGUGGCGUUCUCCGGUCCUCUGGUGUUAUACUGGCACGACCGCUUUGGGAUUGACCCGGCCGUCUUCGGCACCGAACUGGUGGCGGGGACCGAUCCGAAGACCGGCCAACCGACCCAAACGGUGACCGACCCCAUCAGUUUCCAGUGGAUCCCCCUGACGGCGGUCGGCGUGACCAUCGGGUUGGGCUGGCUACUGAGUCUCUUUCUGCCCCAUCGAAAUCCCCCGUCCACCCCGCCCGUUUCAUGAAAGCCCGCCUGAUCAGCCUCUCCCUCGCCGCCAUGACUGUCGCCGGAUGCAAAACCAAUGACCUCGGCCAGGGCCGGGUGACCCUGGAUGCCGCCACCCGCGAAAAGGCGCUCGCCAUUCUCCGCGGGGGCGUCAAAGCGGAGGGCGAGGCAAAUUUCUGGCCGGCCAUGCACGCCGCCGAGGGCCUGACCCUGGCCGGCCAUGGCGACGAGGUCCGCGCCGCGAUCGAACCGAAACUCGCCACCGACAAGGAUGCCCAGCAUCGCUGUGGUCUCGCCCGGGAACUGGUGCGGGCGGGGGACCGGUCGAAGCUCUCCAUCCUGACGGAAGUGUUGGCCAGUGACGAUCCGCACGGGCACACCCACGCGGCGGAAAGCCUGUUCAAAGUGUAUGAGGUCGGCGACCCCAAGGCGAUGCGGCGGCAUUUCGAGCAGACGAAAAACAUCAAGCUGCGCCUCAUGGCCGCCGCGGCGCUGGCCCGGCAGGGUGAUCUCGGCGCGGUGGCGGUGAUCCGCGAGUCCCUCCGCGGUAGCGACCCGGACGGCCUCAUGAUUUCGGCCUGGAUUUUGGGCCAGCUCGGCAAUGCGCAGGAUGUCGAGCCGCUCCGGUCGCGGAUCGCGGACGCGCCGACGCCGGUCAUUCGCGCCUAUAUCGAGCACGCCCUGGCCAUGCUCGGCGACCCCGACGGACUGGUGGCCCUCAGCCGGAACCUCGACUCCGAAGACGCCGCCAUCCGGACCUACGCGGCGAAUUUCGCUGGUGAGUCCAAGGCGGCCGUCACCGCGCCGAAGUUGAUAAACCUGCUCGAUGAUGCCAACCUGGACACCCGCAUCCGCGCGGCCCAGUCCCUCCUUUUCCUGGCCAAAUAGAUGAGAACCAGCAAGACCCUGAAAAAAAUCCGCGAAGGCGGGCUGGCGCGCUGCGCCGCGCUCGGCCACUUCGUGCCCGCCUACAUCGCCCACGCCGCCCGAGCCGGGUACGAUUGCAUCUGGCUCGAUCUGGAGCACCGGGCCAUCGAUAUCCGCGAGAUCCAGGCGCUCAUGCCGAUUUUCCGCGAGUUCGACAUCGAUUGCAUGUUGCGCGCCCCCACUCUCGAGAAGACCGGCCUUUACCGCUAUCUGGAAGAGGGCGCCACCGGCCUGAUGAUCCCGCACGUCUCCACCCCGGAGCGCGCCCGUGAGCUGGUCCAGGCGG
rnacentral:misc_RNA from 1 species